ACUAUUGGGUUGGUCAAAAAGUUUGUUCAUGGAUUUCUGUAACAUCUAAUGGAAAAACCUGAAUGAACUUUUGGGCCAACCCAAUAUAU
rnacentral:miRNA from 1 species